AACGAACGCUGGCGGCAGGCCUAACACAUGCAAGUCGAACGCCCUAGCAAUAGGGAGUGGCAGACGGGUGAGUAACACGUGGGAACGUGCCUUUCGGUUCGGAAUAACCCAGGGAAACUUGGACUAAUACCGGAUACGUGCGAGAGCAGAAAGAUUUAUCGCCGAAAGAUCGGCCCGCGUCUGAUUAGUUAGUUGGUGAGGUAAUGGCUCACCAAGGCGACGAUCGGUAGCUGGUCUGAGAGGAUGAUCAGCCACACUGGGACUGAGACACGGCCCAGACUCCUACGGGAGGCAGCAGUGGGGAAUAUUGGACAAUGGGCGCAAGCCUGAUCCAGCCAUGCCGCGUGAGUGAUGAAGGCCCUAGGGUUGUAAAGCUCUUUCGCCAGGGACGAUAAUGACGGUACCUGGAUAAGAAGCCCCGGCUAACUUCGUGCCAGCCGCCGCCGUAAC
rnacentral:rRNA from 1 species